UUACUUUGUAGCCUCUCUAGGCAGUGUUUUCUCUGUUACUUUGUAGCCUCUCUAGGCAGUGUUUCUGAUUUUAGUGAGUACUUAAUCUUACCCGACUGUGGUCUCACUUUGCAUCUGUGAGGUUCAGAUUAUACUCUUUUUCUAUUGAGACCAGUGACACAGCACAGGUUUGUCUGGCUGAGGCUUCCAUGCAUGUUUGAAUGAGUCUGUUGGAAUAAGGUGGAUGAUCGUGCUGUUGGUGACCUUACUGAUUUUCUGUUUACUUGGUCCUGUUCCUGCUUUCAGUUUUUGCUUUCUUUGCUUUGGGGUUCUGGCAUUUGUUGUAUCAGUAACUAAAUUGUUUAAUCUUCACAAUGAAUUGGUUGUUCUAAUUAGAAAUGUCCUCUAGGUUUUGCAACAUUUUCUCCUAAGUCUCUCAUGAUAGCAAACACUCUGUGUUUGUCUCCUUUUUGUCUGGAUUCAGCCUGUCAGCCCUAGUCUUUUAAUAGCUAAGAGGGUAUUUUCAUUUAGUAAUGCUGUCAGCGUAGCUAGGUUUAAUCAACUCUAUUGGGACUUGCUUUUUCUUUAUCCUGUUUCCUUUUUGGUUUCUUCCUUUAUUUUUUUAAACCUCAUUGUUUUAUAUUAGUUUGAUAGUUUUUGGUGUUUGUUUGUUUAUUUUGAGAGAGUGUCUUACUAUGUAGUCCUGGCUUGUUUGGAACGUGUGUAGGCCAGGCUGGCUUUAAACUCACAGAGAUUCAUUUGCCUCUGCCUCCGAGUGCUGGGAUUAAAAGACAUCUGUUGCAGGCAUGGUAUUCUAUUUUAUCUUCACUAUAUGCUCAGUAGGUUUUUUUCCCCUCCAGGAUUUAUAUGUGCCCUAAACUCACAACAGUCCACCCUCAGAUAAUGUGCAUUUCAUGCGUGGUGAGGAAGCUUUGAGAGAAGAACCGUUUGUUUCUCCCUCCUGCUUUCUGUGCCACCUUACACCUUUGUCACAGAACUCAGUUUCAUAUUUGUUACAAAUUUUACCUUAGACACACACUUUUAAAAUAAAAGAUUUAUUUUAUGUGUAUGGGAGUUUUGUUUAUGUCUGUGUACCACGUGUGCAGUGCCUGCAGCAGCCAGAAGAGGGCAUUACAGCCCUUGCAAUUGGAGUAACAGAUGCUGUGAGCCACCAUGCUGGUGCUGGGAAUCAAACCCCGAUCCUUUGGAAGAGCAUCAGGCUGUUCUCUCUUUAAACUGCUGACUCAUCUCUUCAGCACCUCUUUUUUUUUUUUGGAAAAUUUUAUUUUUAAUUUUGUGUAUGUAUGUGUAGAUAAUGUGCAGGUCCUUGUCGGGGCUUGAAGCCUGGAGCUGUUGUUGCAGAGGAACCCAACCCUGGUCUUGAGCAUGAGCAAUAAGUGCUCUCAACUGCUGAGCUGUCUCUCAAGCUGAUACUCAAAUGGUCAAAUGGUUUUUUUAAAGAAAUAAAAAUUGAGGCCGGGCAUAGUGGUGCACUCCUUUAGUCCAAGCAUGUGGGAGGCAGAGGCAGGCAGAUCUCUGAGUUCAAGGCCAGUGUGAUCUACACAGGGAAUUUAAGGUCAGUCAGAGUUAUAUGGUGAGAUCAUGUUUCAAAAAACAAAACAAAACAAAAAAAAAACCCUAACCAAACAACCAACAACC
rnacentral:lncRNA from 1 species